CUCCUCCUCCAGGUCCUGCGACCCUUCAGAGAGCCAGCAGGAGACGGCAUCACGUGGCCGGUCGCCGAGGGAUGCGACCAGUACACGCUCACGAAGGAGCAACUCGAGCAGAAGGCCCAGAAGCGCGCCAGGAGCCUCGAGUACGAGGUCGUGGAGUCGUACUCGGGCCGGUGGUUCCCCUGUACCAAGGGCGUGGGCGUGUGCUGCCACCCGCCGUGCACGGACGAGGCUCGAGUGGCACUUGAGGAGGGGGACGUGGUGCUCGUCACCAGGUGGAAGAAGUACUGGCUCUACGGCGAGAGGAUCAGCAAAGGCCCCUCCUCCUCUUCCUCUUCCUCCUCCUCUUCCUCACUCCUUCCACCACCUCAACCUUUCUCUUCCUCCUCCUCCUCCUCCUCCUCUCUCCAUCCACCACCACCUCAUACCACUUCCUCCCUCUCUUCUUCCCCCUCUUCCCCCUCCCCCUCCCAUCCUCCUCCUCCUCCUCCUCCUCCUCAUCCUCAACAGUCCUCCUC
rnacentral:lncRNA from 1 species